rnacentral:siRNA from 1 species
UGGUGUGGCAAAGUGAUACUC